GUUGACCGAUCCGGCAUGGUCACAGCCACCCCAGGCCCAGCCACAAGCCCCGCGGCCCAGCUGACUCCAUCGACCUGGGCCUUGGCCCAGGGUAAGCUAACUCUCCCCGCGCCUGUUUCCUGUUGGGCCCGCGAUCAGUUUCAUCCCAAUAGUGUUUUUUUCUCUGGACGAUUUUGUCUAUUUUUCCUGAGAUAGCAGUUUUGCAGUAAAGCCCUCUUACUUCAUGCAUAUAAUAACUUAAUAACCAUGCAUCGGAUCUAAACAAAUUAUAUAUGAAAGUUUCUUAGAAUUUUGUCUAGUUUAAUAAUAUUCAACUUUCAUGCAUGUUUGAAAUGUUUAAAAUGUUGUUUGAUUAAAUUUGCUCCUAUGCCAUGCUAAAAUGCUUUAAUUCAUAACUAAAUAACCGUAACCCGGAAUUUAAUAAACUUUAUAUGUAAAUGGGGUAGCAAAAUGCCUAGUUUAACAUGGUGUACUCACUUUGCAUGUUUAACAACUCUAAAAUAUGGUUUAGGGCAGAACAGUGCCAAACCUUAACAUAUGCAUGGGGAUUUACCGGAAUUGUUGUUCGUUGCUUCCGGCCUCAUUUAAACUUGACUAGAUAGGUAGUUUUACUUUGCUUCACUCUCUUGCCAUGUUUAACAACAUUUAAUAUUGUUGGGUACAUAAACGAGAUCGAACUAAAUAACUUGAAUGUGGUGUUUCAUCAAUAUGCAACUCAUUGCAUAUUGAGCUCCACUUAAUUUGUAGGGUUGUUUGUGCACUUUGCCAUGCCAUGCCUCAUUAAACCGGACAUGCAUCAUACUUGUUUGUGCAUCGUGACAUGCUUAUGUGAUGUUUGUUCACUAUGUUGUUUGCUUUCUUUCCGGUGUACUUCUUCUCGGUAAUCCGGUAACGUUGCGUUUGUGAGGAUACGUUGGCUACGUCCGUUUGUCUUCUUCAUGGACUCGAUCUUCUUCCUUGCGGGAUCUCAGGCAAGAUGACCAUACCCUCGAAAUCACUUCUAUCUUUGCUUGUUAGAUGCUCGCUCUUUUGCUAUGCCUAUGUUGCGAUACCUACCACUUGCUUAUCAUGCCUCCCAUGUUGUUAAGCCAAGCCUCUAACCCACCUUGUCCUAGCAAACUGUUGUUUGGCUAUGUUACCGCUUUGCUCAGCCCCUCUUAUAGCGUUGUUAGUUGCAGGUGAAGAUUGGAGUUUGUUCCAUGUUGGAACAUGGAUAUUUGAUGGGAUAUCACAAUAUCUCUUAUUUAUAUUAAUGCAUCUAUAUACUUGGUAAAGAGUGGAAGGCUCGGCCUUAUGCCUGGUGUUUUGUUCCACUCUUGCCACCCUAGUUUCCGUCAUAUCGGUGUUAUGUUCCCGGAUUUUGCGUUCCUUACACAGUUGGGUUAUAAUGGGAACCCCUUGAUAGUUCGCCUUGAAUAAAACUCCUCCAGGAAGGCCCAACCUUGGUUUUACCAUUUGCCACCUAGCCUUUUCUUUCCCUUGGGUCGGCCAGCCCAGGGGUCAUCUUUAUUUUAACCCCCCUGGGCCAGUGCUUCUCUAAGUGUUGGUCCAACCUAGAGCACCGUGCGGGGCCGUCCCUUGGCAACUUGGGUUACAUUGGCUCCCGUACGCUUAGCUUAUCCGGUGUGCCCUGAGAACGAGAUAUGUGCAGCUCCUAUUGGGAUUUUUCGGCACAGCGGGUGGUCUUGCUAGACUUGUUUUACCAUUGUCGAGGAUGUCUUGUAACCGGGAUGCCGAGUCUGAUCGGAAUGUCUUGGGAGAAGGAAUAUCCUUCGUUGAACGUGAGAGCUUGUGAUGGGCUAAGUUGGGACACCCCUGCAGGGAUUUGAACUUUCGAAAGCCGUGCCCACGGUUAUGGGCAGAUGGGAAUUUGUUAAUGUCCGGUGGAAGAAAACCUGAAGUUUAUCUUAAUUAAAAUGCACCAACCGCGUGUGUAACCGUGAUGGUCUCUUCUCGGCGGAGUCCGGGAAGUGAACACGGUGUUGGAGUUAUGCUUAACGUAGGUUGUGCUAGGAUCACUUCUUGAUCAUAGAUUCUCGACCAUGCUUUUGCCUUCUCUUCUCGCUCUCAUUUGUGUAUGUUAGCAACCAAAUAUGCUAGUCUCUUGCUGCAUCUCCACCUCAUACCUUUUACCCUUCCUAUAAGCUUAAAUAGUCUUGAUCGCAAGGGUGUAAGAUUGAUGAGUCCCCGUGGCUCACAUAUACUUCCAAAACCAGCUUGCAGGUGCCGAUGAAACCGUGCAGGUGACGCAACCAAUCUCAAGGAAGAGCUCGAUGAAGAUCGUGUUCGUUAUGUCGUUUCCUUUUACAGUUGAUCAGUAGUGGAGCCCGGUUGGGGUCGAUCGGGGAUCUGUGUAGCAUUUGGGGUAGCCUUCUUUUAUUUUGGGUUCCGUAGUCGGACCUUGAGUGUAUCUGGAUGAUGUAAUGCUUUAUUCAUGUAUUGUGUGAAGUGGCGAUUAUAAGCCAACUAUGUAUCUCUUUCCCUUAUUGUAUUACAUGGGUUGUUGUGGAGAUUACCUCACUUGCGACAUUGCUUUCAAUGUGGUUAUGCCUCUAAG
rnacentral:lncRNA from 1 species